rnacentral:rRNA from 1 species
ACCUACGACCACAUCACCCUGAUUACACCCGAUCUCGUCUGAUCUCGGAAGCUAAGCAGGGUCGAGCAUGGUUAGAACUUGGAUGGCAGACUGACUGGGAAUUUCAGGUGUUGUAGGCU